rnacentral:lncRNA from 1 species
UCCGCUGUGGAUCACACUAACACACAGGCACACUCCUAUAAUCCAGCUUUCGAGGUACCUUGUCAGUAGAUAUCAGCGACCGAAGCGCCUGUAUCUUGUGUCCCGCGUACCGAGCUCGCGAGUCGAGAAAGUCGUUUAAAACUGUUCAUGAUUUGACAUAACAGAAUUGUAGGGUCCGAAGGUGCAGCCUCGAUCGAAUCGUUUUCGUAUACAGACAUUGCUGACCAGAGGGAUAUCACAUCGCAAGUGAUAUGAAGAAGGAAAGGCCGUGACAAAAGGAAUUUGAAGACAAGUAGCCCCGGUGAAUGCAGAAAUAUGCCUUCAGCUACCGGAAUAUAGAAGCAAAGUAAAUAAAGAACAGGUUCCAAGUGGAAGAAAAUACAAGUGUGAUAAAGGAGAUCGUAGAAGUUCCAUGUGACAUUAUGUGUUAGUACAUAUGAAACUAUUGAAAAGUAUGCAAUUGUAUGGUCAGUACCAGAGAUGAUGUGCCUUUUUACAAAAUUUGUGAAGAAUGUAUAUGUACUGGAAGCUGAAGUUCAAAAAGUUGAUUUAAAAUUUUGAGAAUUGAUGAUUAAGCAAUUAAUUAUGAACCAUGUAACUACAUUACAAAUAAAAAAAUUGUUUUUUGGG